AGUGAACGCUGGCGGUAGGCCUAACACAUGCAAGUCGAACGGCAGCACAGUAAGAGCUUGCUCUUACGGGUGGCGAGUGGCGGACGGGUGAGGAAUACAUCGGAAUCUACUUUUUCGUGGGGGAUAACGUAGGGAAACUUACGCUAAUACCGCAUACGACCUACGGGUGAAAGCAGGGGAUCUUCGGACCUUGCGCGAUUGAAUGAGCCGAUGUCGGAUUAGCUAGUUGGCGGGGUAAAGGCCCACCAAGGCGACGAUCCGUAGCUGGUCUGAGAGGAUGAUCAGCCACAUUGGAGCUGAGACACGGUCCAGACUCCUACGGGAGGCAGCAGUGGGGAAUAUUGGACAAUGGGCGCAAGCCUGAUCCAGCCAUACCGCGUGGGUGAAGAAGGCCUUCGGGUUGUAAAGCCCUUUUGUUGGGAAAGAAAAGCAGCAGGUUAAUACCCCGCUGUUCUGACGGUACCCAAAGAAUAAGCACCGGCUAACUUCGUG
rnacentral:rRNA from 1 species